rnacentral:rRNA from 1 species
GACGAACCGUGCGAACGUUAUUCGGAAUCACUGGGCUUAAAGAGCGUGUAGGCGGCCACGCAGGUCCGUUGUGAAAACUGGAGGCUCAACUUCCAGCCGUCGACGGAAACCGUGUGGCUAGAGUCCGGAAGAGGAGAGUGGAAUUCCUGGUGUAGCGGUGAAAUGCGCAGAUAUCAGGAGGAACUCCGGUGGCGAAGGCGGGUCUCUGGGCCGAUACUGACGCUGAGGAGCGAAAGCGUGGGGAGCGAACAGG